AGAGUUUGAUCAUGGCUCAGGACGAACGCUGGCGGCGUGUCUAAUACAUGCAAGUCGAACGAAGCUUUCUUUCACCGAAUGCUUGCAUUCACCGAAAGAAGCUUAGUGGCGAACGGGUGAGUAACACGUAGGCAACCUGCCCAAAAGAAGGGGAUAACACUUGGAAACAGGUGCUAAUACCGCAUAACCAUGAACACCGCAUGAUGUUCGUGUAAAAGACGGCUUUUGCUGUCACUUUUGGAUGGGCCUGCGGCGUAUUAACUUGUUGGUGGGGUAACGGCCUACCAAGGUGAUGAUACGUAGCCGAACUGAGAGGUUGAUCGGCCACAUUGGGACUGAGACACGGCCCAAACUCCUACGGGAGGCAGCAGUAGGGAAUCUUCCACAAUGGACGAAAGUCUGAUGGAGCAACGCCGCGUGAAUGAAGAAGGCCUUCGGGUCGUAAAAUUCUGUUGUCAGAGAAGAAUGUGCGUGAGAGUAACUGUUCACGUAUUGACGGUAUCUGACCAGAAAGCCACGGCUAACUACGUGCCAGCAGCCGCGGUAAUACGUAGGUGGCAAGCGUUGUCCGGAUUUAUUGGGCGUAAAGGGAACGCAGGCGGUCUUUUAAGUCUGAUGUGAAAGCCUUCGGCUUAACCGAAGUAGUGCAUUGGAAACUGGAAGACUUGAGUGCAGAAGAGGAGAGUGGAACUCCAUGUGUAGCGGUGAAAUGCGUAGAUAUAUGGAAGAACACCAGUGGCGAAAGCGGCUCUCUGGUCUGUAACUGACGCUGAGGUUCGAAAGCGUGGGUAGCAAACAGGAUUAGAUACCCUGGUAGUCCACGCCGUAAACGAUGAGUGCUAAGUGUUGGAGGGUUUCCGCCCUUCAGUGCUGCAGCUAACGCAUUAAGCACUCCGCCUGGGGAGUACGGUCGCAAGACUGAAACUCAAAGGAAUUGACGGGGGCCCGCACAAGCGGUGGAGCAUGUGGUUUAAUUCGAAGCAACGCGAAGAACCUUACCAGGUCUUGACAUCUUCUGACAAUUCCAGAGAUGGAACGUUCCCUUCGGAGACAGAAUGACAGGUGGUGCAUGGUUGUCGUCAGCUCGUGUCGUGAGAUGUUGGGUUAAGUCCCGCAACGAGCGCAACCCUUAUUGUCAGUUGCCAUCAUUAAGUUGGGCACUCUGGCGAGACUGCCGGUGACAAACCGGAGGAAGGUGGGGAUGACGUCAAAUCAUCAUGCCCCUUAUGACCUGGGCUACACACGUACUACAAUGGGUGUCAACAAAGAGAAGCGAAACCGCGAGGUGGAGCGAACCUCAAAAACACACCCCCAGUUCAGAUUGCAGGCUGCAACCCGCCUGCAUGAAGUAGGAAUCGCUAGUAGUCGCGGGUCAGCAUACCGCGGUGAAUACGUUCCCGGGCCUUGUACACACCGCCCGUCGCACUAUGAGAGUCGGAAACACCCGAAGCCGGUGAGGUAACCGCAAGGAGCCAGCCGUCGAAGGUGGAGCUGAUGAUUGGAGUGAAGUCGUAACAAGGUA
rnacentral:rRNA from 1 species